GAUGAACGCUGGCGGCGUGCCUAAUACAUGCAAGUCGAGCGAACAGACGAGGAGCUUGCUCCUCUGACGUUAGCGGCGGACGGGUGAGCAACACGUGGAUAACCUACCUAUAAGACUGGGAUAACUUCGGGAAACCGGAGCUAAUACCGGAUAAUAUAUUGAACCGCAUGGUUCAAUAGUGAAAGACGGUUUUGCUGUCACUUAUAGAUGGAUCCGCGCCGCAUUAGCUAGUUGGUAAGGUAACGGCUUACCAAGGCAACGAUGCGUAGCCGACCUGAGAGGGUGAUCGGCCACACUGGAACUGAGACACGGUCCAGACUCCUACGGGAGGCAGCAGUAGGGAAUCUUCCGCAAUGGGCGAAAGCCUGACGGAGCAACGCCGCGUGAGUGAUGAAGGUCUUCGGAUCGUAAAACUCUGUUAUUAGGGAAGAACAAAUGUGUAAGUAACCAUGCACGUCUUGACGGUACCUAAUCAGAAAGCCACGGCUAACUACGUG
rnacentral:rRNA from 1 species